UUGCAGAAAGUUCUCUUGCUAAAACAAGUGUUACAUGAUUACUUUCACCGCUUGCAGUUGAAGGUACUCCAAUAGUAUGUGAAUUUGAUGAACUACUCACUUCAAGAAGAGUGGAUCUAAAAAAUAAAAAAUAAAUUUAAUAAAAUUCAUAUUUUAUAGAACAAAAUUAUUUAAAGUAUUAAAUUAGUACUACCGAUGAAAACGAUAAAAAAUACAAAAGUAGAUAUGAACUUUUAGAAGUAACUAAUAAAAA